rnacentral:lncRNA from 1 species
AAACAACCAAUAUAAACUUUUUCAAAUCAAAGACUACCUUUAAGGUAGUAUCGGUUCCAAUCGUUCUUAAAAUAUAAAAGACCCAUAAAUUUUUCAGAAAAAAUGAUGAGAAAGACGGGGAGCCCUCUGAGUAACAUUGAUAAAGGACCAAAUUGAAGCUUACUGCCAUUGUUGAAGAGGGAUUUGAGAUUUGAGGUUGUAAACUUUUG